rnacentral:rRNA from 1 species
GAUGAACGCUAGCUACAGGCUUAACACAUGCAAGUCGAGGGGAAACGAUGAGAGAGCUUGCUCUCUUAGUCGUCGACCGGCGCACGGGUGAGUAACGCGUAUCCAACCUGCCUCUGACCAAGGGAUAACCCGUCGAAAGUCGGACUAAUACCUUAUGCAGUCGUCGGAAGUCAUCUGAUGACGACGAAAGAUUUCAUCGGUGAGAGAUGGGGAUGCGUCUGAUUAGCUUGUUGGCGGGGUAACGGCCCACCAAGGCGACGAUCAGUAGGGGUUCUGAGAGGAAGGUCCCCCACAUUGGAACUGAGACACGGUCCAAACUCCUACGGGAGGCAGCAGUGAGGAAUAUUGGUCAAUGGGCGUAAGCCUGAACCAGCCAAGUAGCGUGCAGGAUGACGGCCCUAUGGGUUGUAAACUGCUUUUAUGCGGGGAUAAAGUGAGGGACGGGUCCUUCACUGCAGGUACCGCAUGAAUAAGGACCGGCUAAUUCCGUG